AAAGGCAAAAAGAAUUAACACUCAUUCAAACUCUUUUAGGCCCUUUGUGCCUCUUUUAAAUUUAAAUUUUGAUUAAAAGCAACCCACUCAUUUUGAAAUUGAUACCACGAACUACGAGGUUUUGAUCCCUCAUUUUUAUGUUGGUACGUAGGCACAAGUUCGAAGGUCUCGUCAAACACAAAACUAUAAUUAAUGAAUUCUCUUUUCAUCCCCACACUCUA
rnacentral:lncRNA from 1 species